CACAGCUGGUCCUCUGCUGCCUCGUGUGGUCGCUUUGUGUCACUGACGUUAAUCUGAAGGAAGACUUUCAAACGCAGAAUUGACAAAAUAAGACAUGUGAACUCAGUGAUGGAGGCAGCAGUGGCUCAAAUUAAAAUUGUUGAUCUCAUUGUGAUUUCUGUGUAAGAUGAAUAUUACAUUACAUUACAUUACAUGUCAUUUAGCAGACGCUUUUAUCCAAAGCGACUUACAAAAGUGAAUAGAAAACAUAAAGUAUCCAUGUCAACUGUGCAAUGUCAUUUAAUCCAAACAACAGGUUGGAUUAACCAAUUUAAAACACGGGUUUUAAAUUAACUAAGGUGGGCGUGCGCAUUUCGACACUUUGGAGAAAAGAAACGGGGUUCCCUAACGGAAUUUUCAUGGGUUUCAUCUACUAUCCUGCGCGUGGUGGUCUCCACCCCCCGUGUUGGAUCUGGAACUUUCUCUGAUGGUGAGUAUUUCCUUAAAUACACUUUAAGUUACUCUGUAUUGCUGUUAAUGUAAAUAUAAUUUUGAAUGAAUUUAGAAUCGCACCAACCAACUUGUCCACUUUGUUGAAGACAAACGUAAAGUGAAAUGUUCAGUUAGCGUCUGUCAACGUUAACGUGACUGGCGAAGUGCGUGAGCUCAGUGCAGCGCAAGGCUGGGUUAGCAUCAGCCUCAUAGCCGGCGUGCGGACUUCGUUCAGCCGCUCACCGCAAAUAAAGCGUCGUAUGAUUAAUUAACCAUGAAGACCUAGCCGCGAUUUUACAUGCAGAUGGUCGGUGAUGUUUUUCUCUAUCGAUAGGUCGCGUUAAAUGUGAGCCAUACAACUGAAUGGACGCUAGCUAGUGAGCAAACUUAGUGUUGUUAGCGCGACGCACAGCUUUAAUCACCGCGACGUCGCGCUAACUAACAACAGUCGGACAACUCGCUGGUGGAGAUAUUAGUUAUUAACUUACUUAACUGUUUUAAUUGUCAUUAUUUAGCUGGAACAGUAACAUUGUGCACUGUGUCAAUGUAAACUCAAGCUGUCAAAUUAGCUUGAACAGGUGAAACAACUCUUCAAUCUAACGUCAGAUAUGUGCAGAGUUCCACCGUGUCACCACCAAGGAGCUAUUGGGGACUUUGAGAUCAGCCUCAGAUGAGUCCAGAAAUGGAAAAACUCCAUGACAAGCUUGAUCACCUACAAAUCAGACUGAUCGUUUGAGAUCAAUUUAAAUGUUUAUUGGAAUUUACAUAUCCGUGGUUCAGUCUGUGAUUAACGCCACUGAUGUAAAGAUACAGUGUUGAUACAGUGACAUUGGCGUGCACUGAAGGAACACAUCCCUGCAAGGUCUACCCCUGUUUCUUCGGGAGGAGUUUUUCAGGACAUGCUUGGAAACUGAUCCAGAUGACAGACAAGAGGACUCAAGAUUGGUAUCCUCACUGUCCUUGAGGAUGUUGGAAGAGGGCGUCGUCCUCACAGAUCUCCCAGACCUCCCCACUGUGUCGGCCUUGCUGCUCGAUGCCUUGAACAACAAUUUCCCUAAAGAAAACAGGUUUGAAGUGAUUGAGACCGUCUUUAUGAAACUGGAGCCUCAAGACCAAGCUUUUACUGUGAGUCGGCUAAAUGUGCCCCGCUAAUGAUACCGUGAGCGCUCGGUGACUCAUGUGUGUCGUAAGAAUGGAUACUUGUGACCGAGUGACUGAUACAUUUGUUUUAGUAUUUGUAAAAGUGUUUUGUAAAUUUGUUUAGUAAAAUGUUAAUUUGUUUAUACAUACUGGUUUGCACUUCAGGCCACCAUACCUUUUUAACUUUUUUGUUUUGUUAUUAUGGGGUGUUUUAUUCAGUUGCCCAUAUUACAGUGUUAAAUGUUAUGCCUUUUAACUGUUGUGUUGUGAACCGCACAGGUGCUUUUACAGGUUUUGCCUUAUUUGUAUUUGACACGGCCACUUUAGAUGUCAGCAGUCUUGCACAAUGACAUGUUUACAAAAUGGUAAAUAUGUUUUGAAUGUAUUUGACCAUAGGUCAGUAACACUUGAACUGUUACUUGUUACUUAUUACUGUUGCUAUUGUUAUGGAGCUACUGGAGCUACUACUGGUUACUUUCAAUAAAAUAUGAAGUAAACUUUAAA